GCCGAGGUCCUCUUCCAGGAUUGGCUACCUCCUCAUAACCAUAAGAUAAUUAAAACUUGGCGGGGGGGGGGGGCAGGGUUAAAAAAACUUUUUUUAUCAGUCAGAGGAUAAUGCAAGUGUUUAACAGAUGCUUCACUAUUAAAAUAUUUUCCCCCCAAGUCUCAAAUAUUGAAGAAUCUCUAACCAGGGACACCAGUCCCUACGAAGACCUUGGGCGAUUUUGAAGUGCGGGCACCUCGAUUCCCCGAAUCUGUAGUGUGGCUGGUAUCGGUGUUCCCCUGGUUUAACUAGCCUGUUUGAAGGCACAGAUCAUUCAUGGGGAUGUAUAACCGAAACCAGUCCUCUCCACCGCCUGGGGAUCUUCACUUUCGCAGUCUACGACUGCCUGUGACUCCAGAAAGACAAACUGCAGAUUGGCCAAGCUGCCUGAAGACCCAGCCCGACAGCGAUGCCUGUCAGCCCGCGUCGCCCACCAGGGCAGCUGCUCUCCCAACUCGCAUGGGGGGCACCACCCCGCCUCGGUGCCCUAGAGCUGAGCGCAGCCGCGGCUCCACGGGGAUCGCCAGGGCCUCAGCCCUCGCGGCCGGCGGCGCGGGAGUGUUGCGGGGCAGGGACCAGAGCGCGAUCAGAGCGGCCACCCCCGAUUUAGGUCGCCAGCUUUCCAGUCACUGCGAUGGCCACUGGGGCGCCCCUUCCAUCCUGGUUAAAUUCUCAUUGUGAUCCCCAGCCCUCUUCUCGGUUCCCCACACCCAGGAGGCCGGUUCUCCGCCGCUCAGGCUGGGAGAGGUCACCGCUCCGGGCAGGGUGGACCCCCAGCUCCGUCUCGGAGGACCUUUCGCCGGAGGCGAGCAGGAAGGGGUUAACCAUGAGCCUCCCACCCUCACCUCCCAGACCCUGGUGCCGGGCUAAGGCCUCCGCUUCCCUCCUGAGGUCUCAUUAGGAAACCCUCACCGCUAUUUUCAACAUUUCCUCAAUCAAGUGCCUUUAAAUAGAGCUGCACAAACAGAUUGGCGGCAAAAGCGUAGAUCUUGUCACGAUUGAGACCAAUCCAGUAUUUCAGCCUUGUUUGCUUUGCAAUUACGGGUUGGCUUGUGGCUACGGUGCCACCGGGGCAAAUCUGCAGCCGCUCGCUUUCUCCUCUGCGCUCCGGGCGGGUGGAGGAAGCGACCCGCGGAGUCACUGCAGGGAGGAGAGGGGGACGCGCGCGGGGGGAGGCGGCGGAGGGCGGAGGAGACUCGCUUGCACCCCAGGGCCGCGGGCACGCAGAGCUGUGUUGAAGGACAUACUUUUCAGGUUCCUGACAGUCACUGAGCUAUACGCAAUAAUAAAGUGC
rnacentral:lncRNA from 1 species